GAGAGUUUGAUCCUGGCUCAGGACGAACGCUGGCGGCGUGCCUAAUACAUGCAAGUCGAGCGGACAGAUGGGAGCUUGCUCCCUGAUGUUAGCGGCGGACGGGUGAGUAACACGUGGGUAACCUGCCUGUAAGACUGGGAUAACUCCGGGAAACCGGGGCUAAUACCGGAUGGUUGUUUGGACCGCAUGGUUCAAACAUAAAAGGUGGCUUCGGCUACCACUUACAGAUGGACCCGCGGCGCAUUAGCUAGUUGGUGAGGUAACGGCUCACCAAGGCAACGAUGCGUAGCCGACCUGAGAGGGUGAUCGGCCACACUGGGACUGAGACACGGCCCAGACUCCUACGGGAGGCAGCAGUAGGGAAUCUUCCGCAAUGGACGAAAGUCUGACGGAGCAACGCCGCGUGAGUGAUGAAGGUUUUCGGAUCGUAAAGCUCUGUUGUUAGGGAAGAACAAGUACCGUUCGAAUAGGGCGGUACCUUGACGGUACCUAACCAGAAAGCCACGGCUAACUACGUGCCAGCAGCCGCGGUAAUACGUAGGUGGCAAGCGUUGUCCGGAAUUAUUGGGCGUAAAGGGCUCGCAGGCGGUUUCUUAAGUCUGAUGUGAAAGCCCCCGGCUCAACCGGGGAGGGUCAUUGGAAACUGGGGAACUUGAGUGCAGAAGAGGAGAGUGGAAUUCCACGUGUAGCGGUGAAAUGCGUAGAGAUGUGGAGGAACACCAGUGGCGAAGGCGACUCUCUGGUCUGUAACUGACGCUGAGGAGCGAAAGCGUGGGGAGCGAACAGGAUUAGAUACCCUGGUAGUCCACGCCGUAAACGAUGAGUGCUAAGUGUUAGGGGGUUUCCGCCCCUUAGUGCUGCAGCUAACGCAUUAAGCACUCCGCCUGGGGAGUACGGUCGCAAGACUGAAACUCAAAGGAAUUGACGGGGGCCCGCACAAGCGGUGGAGCAUGUGGUUUAAUUCGAAGCAACGCGAAGAACCUUACCAGGUCUUGACAUCCUCUGACAAUCCUAGAGAUAGGACGUCCCCUUCGGGGGCAGAGUGACAGGUGGUGCAUGGUUGUCGUCAGCUCGUGUCGUGAGAUGUUGGGUUAAGUCCCGCAACGAGCGCAACCCUUGAUCUUAGUUGCCAGCAUUCAGUUGGGCACUCUAAGGUGACUGCCGGUGACAAACCGGAGGAAGGUGGGGAUGACGUCAAAUCAUCAUGCCCCUUAUGACCUGGGCUACACACGUGCUACAAUGGACAGAACAAAGGGUAGCGAAACCGCGAGGUUAAGCCAAUCCCACAAAUCUGUUCUCAGUUCGGAUCGCAGUCUGCAACUCGACUGCGUGAAGCUGGAAUCGCUAGUAAUCGCGGAUCAGCAUGCCGUGGUGAAUACGUUCCCGGGCCUUGUACACACCGCCCGUCAUACCACGAGAGUUUGUAACACCCGAAGUCGGUGAGGUAACCUUUUAGGAGCCAGCCGCCGAAGGUGGGACAGAUGAUUGGGGUGAAGUCGUAACAAGGUAGCCGUAUCGGAAGGUGCGGCUGGAUCACCUCCUUUCU
rnacentral:rRNA from 1 species